CUGAUGUUUGUACAGCUAAUUUAGAUAAAGCCAAUUAUUUAAAGUACAAAUUGAUAAAAAAACCUAAUAAAUUACGGUUUCGUUAUGAAUUAUGAGAUAAAUUAUAUUUCUGAUUUCAGUGUUAGUUUAUUAAUCUAACUAUAUGUACCUACAGGCUACAGCAAAAUUAUUAAAAAUUAUAUUUUUGAUCAACAGUUUUUGAUUCAAAUUAGACUUCGGAUCUCUAACUUCCAACAAUAGUAGGUAUACCAACACAACACAGAAGCUAUUUUUUUCAGACGUGGACGAAUAUUAUUCCGUCCUAUAUACAUUAUACAAUAUAACAAUUAGAAAUUAUUCACGGCAAAAUGAAAACGUUUGACUCGAUUCUUAGCGUUUUAUUUCUAUGCCUCGUCUGUUCUCUGGCGGAUGUAAGCUGUAAGAAAACUAAAGACGUGCCCACUUAUCAGGAAUUCUCCGAUGCCAUUAAUUCAACGAUACACAAAAUAGAAGAUGUGUUUUACCCAUACGUCAGUCAUGGUGACUCGUAUGCUAACAAACCGACGUUUUGCAAUGCUCAAUCGUGUGGUGGUUGUUCGGACCAACCGUUUAUAAACAUUAACAAUUGCAUUAGAUGGUGUAGACCGCCGUGCAUGUGCAUAAGUCCCGCGAGCGGAAGAGGCGAUGACAUAAUGUGUUCAAAGUCCAGACACAGAAGGACCACAUUGUGAUGAAAAUAAUUUGAAAAGGGAAAUGGGAAAAUCCGACGCUCAGAAAUUCGAAAGAAUUAAUCUAAUCUAUAUGAAAUAUGAUAAGAGUUACACAAUGUUACAAAAUAUGUUAUAAAUAUUAUUUCUAAAUUGUAUUAGAAGUACGAAAACAACAAUCAAUAAACAAUUUAAAAAUA